ACUCCUACGGGAGGCAGCAGUGGGGAAUAUUGCACAAUGGGGGAAACCCUGAUGCAGCCAUGCCGCGUGUGUGAAGAAGGCCUUCGGUUGUAAAGCACUUCAGUAGGGAGGAAGGUAGUGUAGUUAACACCUGCACUAUUUGACGUUACCUACAGAAGAAGCACCGGCUAACUCCGUGCCAGCAGCCGCGGUAAUACGGAGGGGUGCGAGCGUUAAUCGGAAUUACUGGGCGUAAAGCGCAUGCAGGCGGCCUGUUAAGUCAGAUGUGAAAGCCCGGGGGCUUAACCUCGGAAUUGCAUUUGAAACUGGCAGGCUAGAGUCUGUAGAGGGGGUAGGAAUUUCAGGUGUAGCGGUGAAAUGCGUAGAGAUCUGAAGGAAUACCAGUGGCGAAGGCGGCCCCCUGGACAAAGACUGACGCUCAGAUGCGAAAGCGUGGGGAGCAAAC
rnacentral:rRNA from 1 species